rnacentral:rRNA from 1 species
AUGGAGGCGUUGCGGAUUUUCCGGAAGAACUCGUGCGUGUUGGUCUCCAAAUCAGUGGGCUGCUCGUGCAUGAGGAAAGCUUGUAAGGGUGUUCUCUCCGAGUCCAUGUCUGGCCGAGUCGGGGACCUUUGGGGCUGCGGUUCUGGCGCCGGCCACCAGCGAGGCCGCAUCUCGCCGUUGCUGAUCUGGAAAGACAUAGGGCGGCCGCCGGGAGGCCACAGGCGCCGAGGCAGAGAGUUUCGGCGUUGCGCUGAAGGGCCAGUUGUGUGUCAGGCGGAGGAAGAGCAAUAG